rnacentral:lncRNA from 1 species
GAGGAGGGAGGGAGAGUGGGAGGAGGGAGAGGGAGGAGAAGGAAGAGAGGGGAGUGCUUUGCUCUGCAGGUGAAGCCAGGAUGUGGACAUGGGAACAAAUUUCCAUGCUGGCAACAAAGCUUAGAAUGUGUUAGGACUGAGGAAGGUGGGUGGGGAGGCUAGUGAUGACCAGGCAGGUGUGGAAGUGAUGCAGCCAGAGGCCAGGUGUCCUAGUUUCACUUCUGUUGCUGUGACAAAAAUCAGCGCAGGGAGAAAAGUCUUUAAUUUCAUGUUACAUCCAUCAUUGCAAGGAAGUCAAGGCAGGACAGUCACAGCAAGCCCAUAGCUGAGAGCAAAUGAGACCCAAAGAGACCAAAUGCAUCCUUGCUUUGUGCUUCAAAGUCAGCUCUCUCUUCUCUCAUAUUGCUCAGGACUCUGCAUAGAGAAUGGCGCUGCCUACACUGGGCUGAGUUGUCUACAUCCAUUAACAACCAAGAUGAUAAUACUGGCCAGUUUUGUGUGAACUUGACACAGCUGGAGUUAUCACAGAGAAAGGAGCUUCAGUUGAGGAAAUGCCUCCAUGAGAUCCAGCUGUAAGGGCCAGAAAUCUGAAGUUGAGAUAUCAACAGAGCCAGUCCCUUCUGGAUACACAAGGCAGCAGUCAUGGACGCCUCUUUACCGGCCUUUGGUGCUCAGUCAUCCUGGCAGCUCUUGGUUCAUGGAUUUACCUUUUCAGUGCCUGUAGGCUGCAAGGGCAGUUUACUCUGUGUCUGUGACUGUGGGUUCAGCGUAUACCAAAUAUGAUCUCAUCACGAGUUACUUUGUAUCUGUGAAGGUGAAUUGGGUAUUAAUGUACAUGUUGUAUGAGUUAGGAAUUGGCUAUGUCUUCUAUAUAUUACAUAUGUAAUUAUGUAUGAUAUACAUAUACUUUUCUUCAUGUUCUAAGAUCGCACCCACCUUUCAGCUGCACCCUAUGUAUGUACUUGCAUGGAUAUUUUCAUAAUAUAUGAUGGCGUAACCGGAGUCAGCAGGUCCCCAUAUCCUGCCCCCAGCUUUACAGUGAGGACCUCAGAGUCUGAAUUUAACUUUAUGUUAUAAUUCUCUUCUGGAAGUGAGGCCUCAACUUUUCUCGGUAGGGGAUAUCAGAUUCAGCUUCUUUGAAAGUCUCCCUGAGUCAGAAUGGAAAUGUGGAUAAGCUGGCUGGGAGCUGAGGCCUUCUGAGAGCAGACACAAUCAUCAGUGACCAUUGACCAGACCUAUCCCAGUGACCUCCAAGGCUCUUCCAAGUGCCUUCUUUUAACACACAACUGACAGGGAGAUUAGAAGCUGAAUGCUUGCUUUGCUUUCUAUGACAGAAUAAAUUUUGACAAACUGGUCUCCAUUUUUGACAUCCGG